UGCUGCUCCCGGGUUUUUCCUACUCAGCUCAGAGUUUUGUUUUUUCUCCUGCCUGUUUUUGUGGACUUAAUAAAUCCAGCUCUUUUGGUUACACUCCACCCAAAGUCUCCGUCCCAGUGUUUCUGCAUAGCGGGUUCUCCUUUUGUGUCUCUCCCCGCGGAGUCCUAACAGUAUCUUAAACUCAACAAUCAGAGGAGCUUCCCGAACUCCGCGUUCCCACCCGAAGGUUGUGUUAUGGGUUUGGGGAGUCUGAUAAGGAAGUGAUAAUAAACCAGACGGAAGGAAUAUGUCAACUUGUCCUCAGUUACACUUCUCCUUUGUUGUUGUGUUAUGGGUUUGGGGAGUCUGAUAAGGAAGUGAUAAUAAACCAGACGGAAGGAAUAUGUCAACUUGUCCUCAGUUACACUUCUCCUUUGUUGUUGUGUGUGUGUGUGAUUAAGCUUUCAAUAAAAGGCUGGACCAAAGGGGUGCUCGGCGGAAUGUCUUGGAGGUCGUCGUGCUCGUAGCACGUGCGUCUGAGCUUCCCCUUUGGCCAAAGCUUACAAAGAUA